rnacentral:tmRNA from 1 species
CUGGUUUCGACGGGUUAUUAGAAGUAAUGUAAGCAUGUCGUGGUUGUGCACGUUAAAACACCGAGGUUUUUAAAUAAACGCAAACACAAAUUACGCUUUCUGCUAAGCUUAUAACAGCAGGCCCUCGUUAAAUGAGGUUUAUCUCUUAUAGUACUUGUCUACGUGUGCUUUAAGGGAAAGAGAGUAGACUUUGAAAGAAUAUUGUGGUCGCAGGUAUUUUUUCGAGAAUUAGGGACUAGUGAUAAUUAAUUUUGUUUAUUUAAUUAAUUAUUAUGAAACUAAACAUGUAGAAAACAGAAUGGAUGAUAAUUCGGACCCGAGUUCGAGUCUCGGCUAGUCCACCA